rnacentral:misc_RNA from 1 species
AUGGGAGAGCUAGAAUUUCUAGUUUAUAUUUCUCUAGUUCCUGCUGCACAUUAGUUCGCUAGUUGCUGUUUUGCUUUUCCAGCUGCAUUUGGUGUACGUAGUUCAAAGUGUUUGUUCAUGGAAGAAAUUAGUAGUGUUUUACAGAUGUUUUCUUAUCAGAGGAAAAGAAAAAACCCAUCCUAAUGCAGCGUUGGGGCAGUAAACGUGAAAUGAUGGGAGAUGAUCCCCCCUAUCUCACAGUGGGCACAGAAGUAAGUGCCAAAUAUAAAGGUGCUUUUUGUGAAGCAGAAGUGAGGAAGGUCGUUCGCAGCGUAAAAUGCAAGGUUGCCUUCAAAUUUGGACUUGGGAAUGCAACUGUCACAGAUGACCAAAUUCGGGGAUCUCUGAGAGCUGGCUCAAACGUUGAAGUGAAGCAUCCCGAGAAAAAAGAAUUUGUAGAAGCUACGAUCACAAAAAUCCAAGAUUGCAGUCAAUAUACUGUCGUGUUUGAUGAUGGCGAUAUCACCACUUUGAGGCGAACGGCUCUGUGUCUGAAGAGUGGACGCCAUUUUGCCGAAAGUGAGACAUUGGACCAGCUGCCUCUCACUCAUCCGGAGCACUUCGGAAAUCCGGUGAUCGGGGGACGUCGUGGCCGGCGUAACAGAGAGGAGAGCAGCGACGACGAUGAUGAUUGUCUGUCGACGCGCAAGGGUGGCGGAGGGGCCGGGGGGAGGGGUUCCGGGGGCAGAGGAGGCGGAAGCCGCAUGGAGGUGGAGAAGGAGGCGGACAUCGGCAAGGUGGUCUGCGUCGAGAUGAGCGACAAGAAGAAGCAGAAGGACAACUGGUUCCCGGGCCUGGUGGUCGCACCCACUGCGCAGGACACGGUGCGCAUACACGUCAAGGAAGAGUAUCUGGUGCGCUCGUUCAAGGAUGGCCGAUAUUACACAGUUCCAAAGAAAGAAGCCACUUCAUUCACCAGGGAAAUCGGCUCCAAGGUUGAUAACAAUACAUUGAGGACAGCUGUUGACAAGGCUUUGCUUUUCCUCGAUAAGGAUGAGUUACCUCCCCAUUGGGACAGAGAACUUCUCUUUGGUUUGGAAGAAUCCACUGGCUCCGAAUCCGAUGCCGAUUUGGACUCUGAUUCGUCAGAUAAUGAGCCACGAGAAGAGAAGGACCAUUUUGUCGCACAACUUUAUAAAUUCAUGGAUGACAGGGGAACACCAAUCAAUAAAGGACCAACAAUCUCGGCCAAAGAUGUGGAUUUGUAUAAACUGUUUAUGGUGGUGCAGAAGCUUGGAGGGUACAAUCGCGUCACCAACCACAACCAGUGGAAAACCAUUUCGCACAAACUGGGUUUCGGCCAGAAUGCUUCCACCGUCAACCUUGUCAAACAUGCCUAUAAAAAGUUUUUGCACAGUUUCGAGGAUUUCUACCGAAAACUUGGUUGCACCAUGCUAAGUCAUCCUAGAAACAAUAGAGCGAGACAUAGGUCCAGCAGGAGUCUCAUCAGAGACAGAGAUCGCGCUACACCAAAAAUCAAGGACAAAGACGGCAAAGAUUCUGACGAUCCAAAAGAGGCCUCCACUUCGCAAGAUGUCAUCAAGAAAGAAGAAGUGGUGAAAGAAGAGGAAAAGCCGAAAGAGGUAACAGUUGUAGAAACCCCUAAAAGGGAAAGUCGCAGCAAAGAGAUGAUGAGGAGUGCUAAAGCAAUGACAAAGGAGGACAACAAAGUGGAGAAGAAGGAGAUGGAGAAGGUGCAGCAGCAGCAGCAGCAGCAGCAGCACGAGGCUGUAGCGACGACUGUGAAGAAGAGUGUGGAGGAGACGAGGAGGGGUGGUGAAGAAGGAGCAAGGAGCAAGGAGAGGGUGAAGUUGACGGCAUCGUCCAGCAACGAAGAGCAGCACAAAGCGAACAAGGUGAUGACCGGCAGACGCGAGGCAAAAGCAAAACAGGAAGAAAAGGACAACUACGAAGAGAAAGCGAAAAGUGAGAUUAAGCAGGGGAAAGUGGCCGCCAAAGAACAACAGCCGAAGAAGAGGAGUCUAUUUGAGAAGGUGACGGGUGUCAGGAAGGGUCCACGUGGCGGGGGAGGAGGAGGGGGAACUGAGGAGACAUCAUCGAAACCCCCCAAGGCGAAACGGCCGUCACUCGGCCUUGCUGCCGUGCGACAGAAGCGAUCCCUCAAAGAUCGCAUGAAAUCCAUCGUUCGCAAGUUCAAACUGAAGGGUGGAACUAGUACUAACACUACUACCCUCACAACCACCACCAACAAACCUCUCUCUAAAACUACCCUACUCACCCAACAACCACCCACUUCCCACAACUCUACACAACCCAUCCCAAAACCCUCCCCAGUAACUAAAUCUCUCCCCCCACCCAACCCACCUCCUCCAAACCCUCCACCUCCCUCCAAACGACAGCCCGAUGGCAAUGAUGGUGAUGAUGAUGAUGAUGAUGAUAAUGAUGAUGAGGAUGCGAGCAAUGCAUGCCACCAUGCGAGCAAGACCACCAUCCCCGAAGUAGUAAACGGCCUCGACAUUGCUGAUGACGAUGAUGAAAACACUGACAAGGAUGAUGCCAUGGGUUCGGGUACAGGCUUGCGCAGUGUAACUCCAACAAUAUCACCGCGUUGUGGUGCUCAAAGCCAAGACACACAGCCCGUCAACCAAACGAGUCCCAUUGCGCAUGCGCUGCCCAUCAGCCAAUCACAGGCCGCCGCGCUGAGGCCUCGGAGCACAGACGGCGGCAGCCAUCUUGACAGUGGUGGUUCAGCCUAUCACAGCAAGAAUAUACAGUUGACGCGAUCUAAAUCUAAAGAAGAUAUACCGAUAAGAGUGAGAAAAGAGCCUACCAGCACAGACACAAAGAAGACUUCUUCUUCGCCCCAAAACUUGUCUUCACCCAACAACAGUAAGGAGCAGUCAGAAGCCGAUAAGAGACGAGGAAGGAAACGUAAAGAAGACGAGAAAGGACCUUGUGAAGAAGUUCUUGAUCAAUUACCUAGCUACAAGUCGGUAUCAGUUGGGGACAAACUGAAAGUCUAUUACGGACCAACACAUGAGUCGAAAGUGACUUACGAGGCAAAGGUAUUGAGCAGCAAAGAGGAGAAUUCAGAGACUCUGUACUUGGUGCAUUACACAGGGUGGAACACUAGGUACGACGAGUGGAUAAAGCGUUCACGAAUUGCAGACAACCUGAGCUGGUCUCCUGGUCGUGUCAAACGCAAUAGGCAACCUCAACAACAGUGUUUGAGAAGGAGUGCUGGUGGUGCAGCACCGACGAAGCGAGGACGCAGCAGCGACACUGGCAGGUCGACCGCCCCCUCCCCCUCACCACGGGCCAGGCUCCCCUCCUCCACUCGCACGCAUACACGCUCCAAGCAGAGCUCCCGUCGCAUCUCAGCACACACAGAUUUGUCAGAUACAGACAGUGGUGAUGAAUCGGACAGCGAGUCGGACAGUGAGAGCAACAGUCCGCUGCAGAAGAGAGCCGACAAAAUGGUGGGCAGUAGCGAUGAAAAAGACGAGAUGGAAAUUCGCACCAAGAGGCGAGCAGCGCUGGCUUUCGCGCACACGCUCAGCUUCGAGAGCAAAGAGGACAAGAGGAAGCCAACAGCGCCGUCGACCAGCGAGGAUGAACGCGACCUGGAAAAGUGCAAAGACGACGUCGACAGGAAACCACACGAGCGACGAUCUGCGUCCAGAGUUAGCAUUGAGAAAGAGCAGAACGACGAACAAACCGCAGAAAGGAGAGGACGGAAGUUGAGAAGUGACCGUGCCAGCCGACCUUUGUCGGACAGUGACGAAGAAAAGGACGAAGAGAAAGACAAGAGAGAAGGUAAGAGAGUGUCUCUUGAAAGAAGGAAAAACGAAGAAUCGAAAGCCAAGUUAGAAGUCAAGAAGGAAUCAAACGAACUGGAUGAUGGACAAAGCUCUAGAAUCUCGAGAACCAAUGAAAACAGUUGUAAGGAUGAUAGUGAUGAAUCAUUGGCUAAAUUACGCAGAAAAACUGAAGUUCAUAAAAUGGAAUGUGAUGAUGGUAAAUCACAGACAGUCGACGAUAAUACGAACAGGUCCGACAGGUUGAGAAAUCGGUCCGAUAAUAAAAAAAGGUUUGAAGCAAAAACAACGGACGAUACUAGUAAAUUUGAUUCAAAGAUGCAAUCAAUUGUCGAUAAAGUUUUGAAAUCUACGUCAGUUGAACCGGAAAUAAAGCCCGAAGUGAAAGAAAUUAAAGAAGAACCAGCCAGUGAUGUGUCUGAGAGUGGCGAGAAUAAGAAGAAAACACGCUACGAAAGAGUUAAGAAGGAGAGAAAUGCUGAAGAUGAAUCGUCUCAAGACACGGAGAGAAAUAGAAGGAGUAGGAGAGUGGUAAUGAACAAGAAAGACGAUGCAAAAGCGAGUAGUAGCAAGGAUGAUUCUGACGACGAAGUUCUGCAGCAACCAAAGGGAAGAGACUUCGAUCUGAUGCAGAUCAGAUCAGAGUUGAAAGGAAUCGAUAAAGCCGUCAAAAUGCCACUUGAAGUGAAGAGCUCUGAAACGGAGGUGAAGGAAAUAGCCUCAGCUUCGGACGUUGUCAAGAAAGAGCCAGUUGAUGUGAAAGUGAAAGAGGAGCAAGAAUCACCAACUAAAGAAGCAAUGGAUCUGUCAGCUGAUGAUAUCUACGAGUUCAAAGAGCCCGAACCAUUCGAGUUCGAGGUAAGACCCAAGUGCAGUGAGGAGAAAGGAGGCAAAAUGCAGAGAAGGACUUUCGGUAGGAUGUGCGACGAACUACCUAAAACACCUUCUCCUCUUAAAAGGAAGCUGGUCAGAAGUAAGCCUUCGCGUUCACCUCCUGAAGUUAAGAAACGGUUCCGACGAAGUAUCACCAAAAAAGAUGAGUGUCCAUCUUCGGAUGCUAAGGGUGCUGCGGAACCAGAAACCAGUAACCAAACUACUGAGAAGAAGAGUGUUGAGAAACCUGCUGUUCCGGUUAAGUCACUCAUAGAAGAACAAAAGGAUAUAAAAAAUGUUGCACCGAAAGAAGUCAUUGAAAAGGAAAAGGAGAUUCCCAGUAGAGUGGUUGGGUUGGAAUCUUCAGCUAAACCACAAACCAAUGAACUCAGCGUGCCAAAUGAUGCUGUCAAACCUGUGCUAGAUAAAGUUGGAAGGGGAACUUUGGAUGAAGAAUUGAACGAGGUAAAAAGUAUUGAUGAACCUGUGAAGGUCGCACAAGACGCAACAGAGAAGAAAGUUGAAGAGAAGGUGGCAGAAAUAGUAGAGAAAGGGGCAAAUAGUAUUGAUGUUGAUGAUGACGACGAUGAUGAUGGUGAAAAUAGGUUGGUGAUAUUUGAAUUAGAUGAACAAGAGAAAGAGAAAAGAGAAAAUGCUGCUUCAAUGAGUGAUAGUAAAGAAGCGUCUAAAGUGACAGUGGUUGAAAUGAAAAAGGAAGAGGUGAAAAAGGUUGAACCACCAACUAAAGAGGUGGUAGUGGAGGCUAACAAGGAUCUGGUAACUAUUGAGAAAAAGGAUGACGUUCCAAAGAAAGUGGAACCGCCAAAAGUGAGUGUGGUGGAGGAGGAGGAGGAGAAGAAGAGAGAUGUGAAGAAGGUAGUCGAAGAGAAGAGGGAAGAAGUAGACAAGAGUGAAGAGGAAGAGGAUGACGAGGCAAUUAAUGCAGCCAUUAGACGUGUCAUUCAACAAACCGACGAAGAAAGCAACGAUUUCGAUUCACUGCCGCCACCUGUCAGAACUGUUGCACCCCCUCCACCACCUCCACCACCACAAGCACCCCAAACUCCAUCUCCGAUAACAUCUUACAAGAAAGAUAACAAAAGGCGAAAGGUGACAAUCAGUAAAGAAUUCAUUGAAGAGUCAGAUUCAGAUAGCGAUGUUGAGGUGAAGCCCAUUCCCAAACCCACCACAUCUAUUUCGACUUCACUUGCUCAUUCUAUGGGAACUGUUACAACAUCCGCUCCGGCCAUUCAGUCACCGGUAGUUCUACAGAAACCUGUCACGGUUACAAUUCCGUCAGUUUUGAAAACAACAACCCUUCCCGUACAGACAUCUGCUUCCUUGAAAAGCAAUUUUACUCUUUCUGCCCUGCAGGGUUCCAAGAUUACCACAGCAGCAUGUGGGCUGAUCAAACCGACCCUUCCGGGUACCAAGAUCUUGUUGAAUGUAUCAACUUCAGUGCAUCGCCCACCAAUGGCCACAGUCGCAACCACCGGACAUUUGCCAAUACUCACCGCUAUCCACAAACCUCCUCCUCUGACUUUUACCAGUCCCCUGACGCUGACCAGACCAUGCCUCCCUCUACUGACUCAGAGACCUCCACAAAGCACGGAUCCCAGCACAUCCAAACAAACUCUCACAUUGCCGAUUCUAUCCGCCAAACCUAUCAUCACAACAUCAACCAAUCUGCCGCAAACCGUUUCCAAUUUCACGCUAUUAUCAUCUGACAUGAAGGCGCUGCCCCAUCUCAUACCGAAACCGAACUUUGUAACCCAGUCAACAUCUACUUCAAUCAAAUCGACUCCGAUUUUGAUUGCUACCACUGUUCCUACAGCCGCUCUAACGGCUACUGACACCAAAAAACUCGCCGAGAAGAAGGAUAGUGUGGAAGUGAAGGUUGAAGACAAAUGUAUAAGAAUUGUAACUGUUGAUGAGGCAUCGAUAAAAACCAACAAAGCUGCUAGUGAGAUUAGUAAUGUGGCUGAGAAGAAAGAGGAGGUUAUUGUCGCCACAGUCAAGGAUGCAGUGAAAGAGGACAAAAUAGAUGUAGUUGGCAACUUGAUACAACAAAAGAAGAGCUCUACCUCUGAACUUGUCCCCUUGCCUACAGUUGUUGAACAAGAAAAUCGUGCCCGAAGUAAUUGAACCGGUCAAAGAAGUAAAGGCAGCUGAUAAAGUUGUUGAGAUACAGAAAAUCGUUGAAGACAAGCCGGGGAAAGUCGAGACAAAGUCGGAAGAGGUGAUGAAGAUGGUAUUGGAGGAGAUGCCCAAAACUAACAAGGUAGAAGAGGAAGAUGAUGAGGAUGACAUUAAACUAGAAAUAGCGGUUGAGGAGGAAGUGAAAUCAGAAGACGAAGAGGAGGAGAGAAGGAUAAUGAAGGAGUUCGAUUUGGCUGAAGAAGAGACAAUGGAGGCUGAUGAAGAUGAUGGGGAAGUGGAGGAUGAGGAUAUGGAUGCGGAUGAGGAGGAGGAAGAGGAUGAGGUCGAGGAACGCGAGGAGGAAGAGGAGGAGUGUGUGCAGUCGCUUUUGUGCGAGGAAACGAUACCGGGCAGUCCCGCUCCGCCCGCCGGGAAAGGCAAGGGUGACAACGACGACGACGACGACGACGAUGAUGAUGAUGACGGUGAGAG